rnacentral:rRNA from 1 species
UACGGAGGGUGCAAGCGUUAUCCGGAUUCACUGGGUUUAAAGGGUGCGUAGGUGGGCAGGUAAGUCAGUGGUGAAAUCUCUAAGCUUAACUUAGAAACUGCCGUAGAUACUAUCUGUCUUGAAUGUAGUGGAGGUGAGCGGAAUAUGUCAUGUAGCGGUGAAACGCUUAGAUAUGACAUAGAACACCUAUUGCGAAGGCAGCUCGCUACACUAUUAUUGACACUGAGGCACGAAAGCGUGGGGAUCAAACAGG